CAAUCCAUGAGUAAAGUGGCGUACGGGUGAGUAACACGUGGAUCAUCUACCUUUUAGUGGGGAAUACCCCCGGGAAACUGGGGACAAUACCGCAUAAGCUCGUAAGAGGAAAGCAGCAAUGCGCUGAAAGAGGAGUCCGCGGCUGAUUAGCUAGUUGGCGGGGUAACGGCCCACCAAGGCGAAGAUCGGUAGCCGGCCUGAGAGGGCACACGGCCACACUGGCACUGAAACACGGGCCAGACUCCUACGGGAGGCAGCAGUGGGGAAUCUUGCACAAUGGAGGAAACUCUGAUGCAGCGACGCCGCGUGAGCGAUGAAGCCCUUCGGGGUGUAAAGCUCUUUCGACGGGAACGAUAAUGACGGUACCCGAAGAAGAAGCUGCGGCUAACUACGUGCCAGCAGCCGCGGUAAUACGUAGGCAGCAAGCGUUGUUCGGAAUUACUGGGCGUAAAGAGUGUGUAGGCGGUGUUCUAAGUCUGUUGUGAAAUCUCCCGGCUUAACUGGGAGGGUGCGGCGGAGACUGGAAUGCUAGAGUAUGGGAGAGGUAAGCGGAAUUCCUGGUGUAGCGGUGAAAUGCGUAGAUAUCAGGAGGAACACCUGUGGUGUAGACAGCUUACUGGACCAUGACUGACGCUGAGACACGAAAGCGUGGGUAGCAAACAGGAUUAGAUACCCUGGUAGUCCACGCCCUAAACGAUGCAUACUUGGUGUGAGCCAUUCAUUUGGUUCGUGCCGGAGCUAACGCGUUAAGUAUGCCGCCUGGGGAGUACGGUCGCAAGGCUGAAACUCAAAGGAAUUGAC
rnacentral:rRNA from 1 species